AUUGAAAUACUAGUUCUCAUACAAUCACCAAAGUUAAACAACAUCAAGCCUGAUCAGUAUCUAGAUGGGUGACCACCUGGGAAUACCAGUUGUUGUAAG